GUGUGGCGCGUUUGCGGGUAAGGAUAGGUAAUGAGGCGGUACUCGGUUAGACAGAGACUACUGUUUCAAAAACAAAGCUUCCAUUUAUUGAUCGAUAAGAGAGUCCUUUACAAACAUAUUCCCGACAAUAAUGAGAGGAAAAUACCUUGAAAUAAGAGAAAGUCCAAUUAAACUCUCGGUGGAGACGAUGAGGAUGACUGAGACAGAGAGGGAGGCCAGAUAACUGGAGACGAUUCUGAGGUACUCGAUGAAGGCGGACGAUGAAUAAAUUCGGCGAUGAAGAUUUUCAGUGGCUCUUCGGCAGAAGCGUGCGAUGGUUUUUACACUUUUCCCGGUUGCGUUUCCUUCUUCGAUGACCGUUUUCGGCCGAUGACAGUUCCUCUCCCGACGACUUGCGUCUGUCUUUCUUGGUCCGACUUCUUUUCUAUUGUCCCCCCUCACAAAGUCUCCCACAACUGUUUUAUACUUUUUCUUGUCUCUGAC
rnacentral:lncRNA from 1 species